GUAUGUUAAUCAAGCCGGAAGUGUUUGGCUUCAGAGAACACUACAUUACAGGUGAAUUUUCUGCCGCCACGUCACUCAGACGCAAACAAGUCAACAUGGAGGAUGAUACUAACUAAGUGAGCCACAGCAGCGUCUCAUCAGCCCAAUUCAUCACGGCGCCGGGCGGAUCUUCCCAGCACAGCAGACUCUUGAUGAAGUCAAGUUGCAUAUUUACUUUCAUGUGUCUUGAGGCCAGUGUCUGAGGGAAGUCGACGGCAGCUGUAUGGACGGCGCAAGCUCAACUGAUCUCCGGACACGCCCACGGUCACGCACAUCCAGGGACGAGCCGCCGCCCUGCAGCAGCCGCCAGCUGCAAUCAUUCACCGGCAAUCAUCACACCUGCCGGUAAGGAAGGAACUGCCUUCAUAAGCCUGGACAACCUUGCAUGCCGGCGCCGGAGUUCAGUCUUCUGU